rnacentral:snoRNA from 1 species
GGCUUACGCAGUUGAUCCAGUAAAUGGGCGUUCGUUGAAAAUCACCCUCGGCUUUGGCUUGUAGCCGGGGGUGAGAUUCGGCGCCCAGAGCCACAGAGGCCUCAGCUCACCGCCCGCUGCCCCGGUGUGGGAGGGUGAAACCCAGGCCCCUACAUUC